rfam:Salmo salar isolate Sally breed double haploid chromosome ssa18, whole genome shotgun sequence.
AGAAAUUGCUCCUGUAAGACGCUCUGGAUAAGAGCAUCUGCUAAAUAACUAAAA